rnacentral:rRNA from 1 species
AUUGAACGCUGGCGGCAGGCUUAACAUAUCCAAGUCGAGCGGAGAUAAGGUGCUUGCACCUUAUCUUAGCGGCGGACGGGUGAGUAAUGCUUAGGAAUUUGCCAUUUAGUGGGGGACAACAUUCCGAAAGGAAUGCUAAUACCGCAUACGUCCUACUGGAGAAAGCAGGGGAUCUUCGCAUCUUGCGCUAAAUGAUGAGCCUGGGUCGGCUUAACUAGUUGGUGGGGUAAAGGCCUACCAAGGCGACGAUCUGUAGCAGGUCAGGGGGGUUGAUGCGGCAACAUGAGCGUGAGAAACGGCCCGGGCUCCUAGGGGAGGAAGCAGUGCGGAAGAUUGGAAAUUGGGCGGAAGCCUGAUCCAGGCAUGGCGCGGGUGUGAAGAAGGCCUUUUGGUUGUAAAGCACUUUAAGCGAGGAGGAGGCUACCUAGAUUAAUACUCUGGGAUAGUGGACGUUACUCGCAGAAUAAGCACCGGCUAACUCUGUGCCAGCCGCCGCGGUAA